GAUAAUGAACACUACCUGGGUUUUGUUUUGAGAUGGGCCUAUAUGGGGUUGUUGUUGAAUAAUUACCCGGUUCGUCACAUGAAUAGGAAGGCCUUGUCUGCACCAUCAUGGCAGACGGGGAAGAGGCGCUUUAGCAGCCUGACCAGAAGGCAAGGACACAUGGAUGGGUUCCAGCUGCUACCCUUCCCUGAGCACCUAGAACAGGUCAAUUGGGAGACUGGGGCUAACAGCACAGGCACAUUGCCCCUGUGUGGCCCAAACUCUCCACAGACCCUGGACACAGCAGCUGAUAUCAUAUGGACUGCACAGGAGGAAGAGGCAGUGGCCUCUGACUUUGGAGACCUGCUGGGGGUUGGGGGACCUCGACCUCUCCGCCCCACUGCCCUCUCGAGGGUAUCAUGGAAUGGGACUGGCAGCCAACAGAAUGAAAGAGGGGAAGAGGAGAGACUAGAGAAGGUGAAGACCAGCCACAGCAGACAAGACAGUCCAGCUGCUGCUACCAACUAUACAGAGUCAAAGAUUGUCCUGUAAGCUUUCCCAAAAGCUUGACAUUUCUCUACUGGCGCUGCCGAAUUGGAUCCUUUUUGGAGGCGCAGCUGCAGGAGCCUUCCUCCCAUGAGGCAGCGAUGGCAUCGGCAGCAGAGUGUGGUGCCUCCUCUUUCUCCCCUUGCCCUCCAGACAGACCAGGACAAACUUCAACCUGAGUAAAGAUGUGACCUGUGGCAUCUGCAUGAAGACGGUGUACGAGAAGACCAGCGCUGGGGAUAGGCGCUUCAGCAUCCUGCCAAUCCUUCUGCCUGAGCUACAGUGUCACCUGGAGAAAAAAAAACUUCCAGGAAGAAGUUACAAAGGGUUGCUAAAAGUGCAGAGUCAAGUCGGCGUUUUACAUCCCCAACAAGUACUGGGUGGAAGGACAACCAAAGGAAACCCUUAUCCGUAACUUUAAAUAUAAAUGCAGGUCAGCUUUUACCAUUCUCUCGACCAGAUGACACUAUGGAUUUCCGGGGUUCUGACAUCCUAGUUUGAUUGUGGUAAACCAAUGCUCUGUUUCAACUCCAGAAAAUAAGAUGUAGUUUCUUCAUGUGUCAUGGAUGCUGUCCCUUCAAGAUGGAGUGUCUCUGUUGGUAUGACCUGCCUCAAGGCUACAGACCCCAUCGCCACCACGAUCAUCUUGUGGUAUUUCAAUGAUCGUAUUAAUGUCACACACACACACAGUUCAACAUAGAUAAAUGUAAACUGAAACAGAUAUUUGUGAUAUUGAAUGGAUAUUGAAUGGAUCCCAGGGCUGUGUGGGUUGUUGCUUGGAGUCAUCCUCUUAGACCUGUGAUUGGCUGUUCUCUUGCUGUUGAUGGGUUUUGGUUCCAUCCAAGUUGAUGGGUUAAUGAAUUAGUUGGCUAAUUGAUGUGAUGGGCUCCGACCCAUUGGUUUGCCAUCUGUUGUUCCAUUGGGUGGUCCUGUUGUGCCAAUAUUGUCAUUUGCACCAUUUAGUAAGUUAGUGAGAUUUGAAUAAUGCUGUGAUGUGUAGUGUAUAUAUUUUAUGUAAGUCUAGAUUGAAAGUAUACUUUGCCUUGCAUUUUUCACUUGUCUGACAUGUUUGAGAUGCUUAUUUAAAAAAAAAUAUAUAUAUAUAU